rnacentral:lncRNA from 1 species
AGGGAAGCCAGCAUGAGCCUUCUACAGAGCUGGUUCCAACACAGGUAUGACACCAGCUCUCUCAUCACCAGUACAAAGCACCUUGCUAGGUAUGGUGGAGAUCCAGGAUGUGAGAUUCCAGGCGAUUCUGCGCAGACUGAAUAGAAGCUCAUUCUGGAUCGAUGCAGUUCUAAGUACCCAGAACACACUGUGGUUUCAGAAGAGCCAGUGCUUUCACAGCUCCAGGCCGCCUGCAACAGAGAUGGGGACAGGGAGCACCCAAAUGGUUGAUAAUAAAAAGCUA